rnacentral:rRNA from 1 species
GGACCUGAUCCAGCCAUGCCGCGUGUGUGAAGAAGGCCUUUUGGUUGUAAAGCACUUUAAGCAGUGAAGAAGACUCUUCGGUUAAUACCCGGGGACGAUGACAUUAGCUGCAGAAUAAGCACCGGCUAACUCUGUGCCAGCAGCCGCGGUAAUACAGAGGGUGCAAGCGUUAAUCGGAAUUACUGGGCGUAAAGCGAGCGUAGGUGGCUUGAUAAGUCAGAUGUGAAAUCCCCGGGCUUAACCUGGGAACUGCAUCUGAAACUGUUAGGCUAGAGUAGGUGAGAGGGAAGUAGAAUUUCAGGUGUAGCGGUGAAAUGCGUAGAGAUCUGAAGGAAUACCGAUGGCGAAGGCAGCUUCCUGGCAUCAUACUGACACUGAGGCUCGAAAGCGUGGGUAGCAAACAGGAUUAGAUACCCUGGUAGUCCACGCCGUAAACGAUGUCUACUAGUCGUUGGGUCCCUUGAGGACUUAGUGACGCAGCUAACGCAAUAAGUAGACCGCCUGGGGAGUACGGCCGCAAGGUUAAAACUCAAAUGA